UAACCGCAAUUUGCCACGCCCAAUUUAUACCAUCCCGCACCCAAACCCCAAUUCUCCCUCUCCGCAUCUUCAGCUCGGCUGCAAAUCUGCAUUCGACUUUCACAUCUGCUGUCUCCGCGACUCCGUCUGCAAUUCCCCUCCCAUAUCUGAUCUAUCCCUGGAUUCAAUUUUUUGAUCUUCCCUCUCGACUACUGUAUUUUCCAUCUUCAUAGAAAAAUCCCUUCUAUUCAACUUUCUCUCUCAUUUUCAUUAUCAUCAUUCUAAAGAAUUGGAUUAUUGCACGAUACCACUGUGGUGUUCGAAUGCAGUUCAUGGCCAGUUGGAGUAUUCACGAAUCAUGAAGUUGGGGAAUACUAUCUUGGUUUGGAAAAUCCAGUGCGUUUCUUUACAAAUAAUCGAAAACUAUUGAGUUUUUAUUAAAUUUUGACGGAACCUGUGCAGAUCUUUGAAAUUUGAAAGUAUGAAUGACAUUGAAGAGCAACGAAAAGUUCAAAAUCACCUUAAGAGGAAUACGGCAUGAAUAAGAAGCGGAAAUCACAUGAAUAACAUUUCAGUGAUGGUGAAUAAUGAAUGCAGAAACAGAGUUACUGCAAAUUGAAAUUCUACUUCAUUAAAAAUUUCCUGGUCAGGCAAAUGCAAGCGUGGAGUGAUCGUUAAACGUCAAAGGGGAAAAAAUAGAGGAUGGACUGAAGUUUCAAGCGGCAGUGUGGUAGCAUUUUGAGAAUCAUCGAUAGAGUACCUUCACAGAUUUGUUUACAAACAACCAGUUGAUCAUGUAAAGUUGAUUCCUGAUUAUUUUAGUUAUUGAACCAAUGAAUUUGGGAACGAUAAAGCGUAAACUAGAGGACAAUAAAUACUUUUAUGAAGAGGAAUUUGCUAGUGAUAUUAGGCUGACUUUUUCAAGUGCGAUAUGUUAUAAUCGUUCUGGGAACUAUGUGAAAGAAUUGAAUAUGAUCUUUUCAGCGGGAGAUAGAAAUUAUUCAAUACAAAAUUGAAGUACACGUGAAGAAAUCUCAAACAGUUAUGCGAUGCAGAUAGAAUAGGAAAGAAUGGCCAAGAUACAAAGGCCAUUAUAGAAAAGAAAGGCCAAAAUGCAAAUCAAUCUCGCCUAACAAAUCUUGAGGGAACAUCAGUCUUUGGAACAGCGGCCAAUGUCGUUGGAGUAAAAGAAAAUUUGAGUAAAAGAGCUUUUGAAAAUAUCGAGCAAAAAGAUAACGGAAACUAUAAGGUUCAUGUUCGAAACGUUUUUUAUGGCCAGAUUGAAAGAAGAAAAAGAUGGUUCUUAUAUUCAUGUGAUUGACAAUGAAAUCUUAUUGAAGCUGGAACGAAAGAGAGAUAAAGAUUCUUUGGAUGCAAUGAAAGAAAAGGUUCUUCUCAACAGAGGAAGCCUGCAAGAACUACACAAAGUCACAUAAUGGCAUUCAAUGUGCAUUUGCUGCUUCCAAUAGAAAACAACCAUUUGAUUUCCCUGCAGUCGAAUGUGCUGCAAGUGGUAGUCUGAUGUGCCAAUGAAGCCUUAGAUGUUCCGUUGAGCCAUCUUUCAGUGUGUCGUCAGCUUAAAUAUCCCGUGACAUCUCAUACAAGAUGAUUGAAGCUGGAUUCUAAUGGACGAGAAGAUUAAUCCUGUCAAUGGGCACAAAGAAAAUGGAAGAUUGGAAAGGCAGGAGCAUGAAGUAGAUGUUGCUCAAGACGCAGUUGGUUCACAUCAAAAUACCAAGAAAUCUUCAGCUUCAAAAUAAUGCAGAAUAUCUCAGAGAAGAAAGAAUCAUACCAUACAGCUGAAUUGUCUGUGACAUUGAAUUUAUCACCUUUCCUUUUUAUUUCAUCCGAAGAAAUCUUUAUUGCUCUUUCUGUCUAGCUUGGGAAAAGUUUCAUUGUCGAUCAUGUCAAUAUAAGAAUCGAGUUUUUCUUCUCUCAAUCUGGCCAUACAAAACUUUUCGAACACCCUUAAAGCUUUAACUAUCUUGACCUUAAAGCUUCAACUAUCUUUCUGCUUGAUAUUUUCAAAAGCUUUGUUCCUCAAAUUUUGCUUUUGCCCUUAAAAGACUGUGGCCUGUUGUGGCCAUAAAGCUUUAUUAAGGCAAGAUUGUUUUGCAUUUUGGUCUUUCUUUUUUAUAAUGGGUUUGUAUCUUGGCCAUUCUUUCCACUUCCUCUACAGUGCAUAACCGUUCGAGAUGCCUACCGUGCACUUCAAUUUUAUCUGCUGUAAUUUCCAUCUCUUGAAAUCAUCAUUCAAUUCCUUUGCAUAGUUCCUAGGAGGAUUGUUGUGUAUCGCAUUGACAAAAUGAACCUAACAUCAUUAGCAAAUUCCUCUGCAUCAAAGUAUGUAUUGUCCUUUAGUUUACGCUUUAUCGUUCCUAAGUUCAUUAGUUCAAUAGUUAUUGGAAUCAGCAGUAGAUCAAUUGGCUGAUUUAGAGAAGAUCCGUGACGGUUCCCAUCAAUGAUCUCAAAAUGCUACUACAUUGCUGCUUGAAACUUCAAUCCAUCCUAUGCUUCUUUUAUCCCCUUUGAUGCUCAAGGAUCACUCGACCUUACGCUUCUUGGAGUUACUUGACUAGGAAAAUUUGACUAAAUUAGAUUUUUUUAUUUGCACUAACUCGAUCUGUUCAUUCAUUUUUUAUUAUCAUUGUGAGGUUUUUCACGUGAUUUCUCUUGUGAUUUAUGCUAUAUUCCUUUUGAGGUGAUUUUGUACUUUAUGAUCCUCUUGUGUUACCAACAGUUGCCACAAAUUUAAAUUCGUGAUUUAAGGAGAAUUGUAAGUUCUACAAUUAACAUUUUUGAUGUAUGUACAUCCAUUUUGUAUUACUGGAUUAAUUCCUCCAUUAAAUGAUCCAAUGUAACUUCACGUUCACGUUCCCUUUUCA